rnacentral:rRNA from 1 species
AGCAGUAGCCGCGGUAAUGCGUAGGUGGCAAGCGUUGUCCGGAAUUAUUGGGCGUAAAGCGCGCGCAGGUGGUUUAAUAAGUCUGAUGUGAAAGCCCACGGCUCAACCGUGGAGGGUCAUUGGAAACUGUUAAACUUGAGUGCAGGGGAGAAAAGUGGAAUUCCUAGUGUAGCGGUGAAAUGCGUAGAGAUUAGGAGGAACACCAGUGGCGAAGGCGGCUUUUUGGCCUGUAACUGACACUGAGGCGCGAAAGCGUGGGGAGCAAACAGGAUUAGAUACCCCUGUAGUCCCUGUCUCUUAUAC